rnacentral:rRNA from 1 species
AGAGUUGAUCCUGGCUUAGGAUGAACGCUAGCUACAGGCUUAACACAUGCAAGUCGAGGGGCAGCAUGGGAUUAGCUUGCUAAUCCUGAUGGCGACCGGCGCACGGGUGAGUAACGCGUAUCCAACCUUCCCCCUGCUCAGGGAUAGCCCGCUGAAAGGCGGAUUAACACCUGAUGGCUUCACUAGAUGGCAUCUGACGGUGAAUAAAGUUUACGGCAAGGGAUGGGGAUGCGUCUGAUUAGCUUGUUGGCGGGGUAACGGCCCACCAAGGCAACGAUCAGUAGGGGUUCUGAGAGGAAGGUCCCCCACAUUGGAACUGAGACACGGUCCAAACUCCUACGGGAGGCAGCAGUGAGGAAUAUUGGUCAAUGGGCGGAAGCCUGAACCAGCCAAGUAGCGUGCCAGGAUGACGGCCCUAUGGGUUGUAAACUGCUUUUGUACGGGAAUAAAGUCAUCCACGUGUGGAUGUUUGCAUGUACCGUAAGAAUAAGGACUGGCUAAUUCCGUGCCAGCCGCGGC